UACGUAGGGUGCAAGCGUUGUCCGGAAUUAUUGGGCGUAAAGAGCUCGUAGGCGGUUUGUCGCGUCUGCUGUGAAAACUCGGGGCUUAACCCCGGGCCUGCAGUGGGUACGGGCAGACUAGAGUGCGGUAGGGGAGACUGGAAUUCCUGGUGUAGCGGUGGAAUGCGCAGAUAUCAGGAGGAACACCGAUGGCGAAGGCAGUUCUCUGGGCAUUACCUGACGCUGAGGAGCGAAAGUGUGGGGAGCGAACAGG
rnacentral:rRNA from 1 species